GACGAACGCUGGCGGCGUGCCUAAUACAUGCAAGUCGAACGCAGUGGGGACGGGUGAGUAACACGUGGGUAACCUCCCAUCAGAGGGGAUAACACUUGGCAACAGGUGCUAAACCGAUAUUGAUGGAUGGACCCGCGGUGCUUUAGCUAGUUGGUGAGGUAACGGCUCACCAAGGCCACGAUCCCUAGCUGGUCUGAGGGGAUGAUCAGUCACACUGGAACGGAGACACGGUCCAGACUCCUACGGGAGGCAGCAGUGGGGAAUAUUGGACAAUGGGCGAAAGCCUGAUCCAGCCAUGCCGCGUGUGUGAAGAAGGUCUUCGGAUUGUAAAGCACUUUAAGUUGGGAGGCGUUACCCGCAGAAGAAGCACCGGCUAACUCCGUGCCAGCAGCCGCGGUAAUAC
rnacentral:rRNA from 1 species